UACGAAGGGGGCUAGCGUUGUUCGGAAUUACUGGGCGUAAAGCGCGCGCAGGCGGUUUCUCAAGUCAGUGGUGAAAGCCCGGAGCUCAACUCCGGAACUGCCAUUGAAACUGUGAGACUUGAGGACGAGAGAGGUGAGUGGAAUUCCCAGUGUAGAGGUGAAAUUCGUAGAUAUUGGGAAGAACACCGGUGGCGAAGGCGGCUCGCUGGCUCGUUUCUGACGCUCAGGCGCGACAGCGUGGGGAGCAAACAGG
rnacentral:rRNA from 1 species